AUCAUCAGCAACAAACGAGCAGGGUGAGAGACUACGACCAAAAGCGACAAAGUGUCUUAGUCGACUUGGGGGAUUUACUCUCGUGAAUGCAGUGGUGCUACUCCUUGUUAUAGCUGUACCUCACACCACCCUCUAUGUCGAGGAACCCCCAGCGAAUUCCGGGGGAUUUCACAUAACAGGAGCAAAUUACAGCGCUGCACAAAACUCU
rnacentral:ribozyme from 1 species